UUCUUUUUUUUUUUUUUUUUUUUUUUUUUUUUUUGAAAUCUUAUCUUGGAAAAUCGAUUAUUGGUGAUGGGGUCAAGCAGCUCGAAAAAUGAAGAGAAGUCAAACGAGAAGAAGUCAAAUGAAGAGUCAAACAA
rnacentral:ribozyme from 13 species